rnacentral:misc_RNA from 1 species
GAUGAAGAACGUAGCGAAAUGCGAUACGUAAUGUGAAUUGCAGAAUUCAGUGAAUCAUCGAGUCUUUGAACGCACAUUGCGCCCCCUGGUAUUCCGGGGGGCAUGCCUGUCCGAGCGUCAUUGCUGCCCUCAAGCCCGGCUUGUGUGUUGGGUCUCGUCCCCCUUCCCGGGGGGACGGGCCCGAAAGGCAGCGGCGGCACCGCGUCCGGUCCUCGAGCGUAUGGGGCUUUGUCACCCGCUCUGUAGGCCCGGCCGGCGCUUGCCGAUCAACCAAAACUUUUUUCCAGGUUGACCUCGGAUCAGGUAGGGAUACCCGCUGAACUUAAGCAUAUCAAAAGCGGAGGA